UCAAACAAAGCUUUGCUGGCGACGCGCAGGAGCGUCAGCCCUCCGCUACUCUCUUGUGCUUUUUCUUCAGUCUCCUCACAUCUCUUGGUGAGCCUGUUCGAUUGUUGCAGCAGGACUGCGACAAGUGGCGCCCGAACAGGGACCUGAGGGACGGAGGGGGAGACAACCACAUCUUAGGUACUGAGAAGUCUUUCGAAAGCGUAGUUGCCGGCAGAACGGGCUGCGGCAGAGAGUUAUCUACAGGACAGGCUGUAGGAUGCUGAGGACCCGAGGUGGCUGCCAGAAAGGCUGGUGCGUCAUGCAGACCAUAUUACUCCUGAUCUUGCUCUAGCUUUGGAGGACUCCAGCUGAAGAGCAAGAAGUUCAGCGCAUAUAUUGGGCGUAUGUUCCUGACCCUCCUCUGCUCCAUCCAGUCAGUUGGGAGUCUCCCGAGGUACAGAUCUACUCCAAUGAUUCUGACAUUCUGGGAGGACCUGUUGUCCACGCACAGCUACAACACCGGUUGUACAAUUACACAGGCCUGGGACGAGGGACUCCGAUGUGCUUCUUUAAAAAUGAUUGCAGCGACAUUGCUUGCUUAAAAAACUGCAAGCCCGGCUGUUUAACACUUCGGUCUUCCAAUGUGUGGGGCUGGACCACUCUGGGUCACCAACUCACUGUUAUGCUCUGGGCAGCCAGCGGAGCACCUAGUAAUAGGAGUAAUGGCACCUUGCCUUCUGACCACCCUUUAUGCAUUGUGCUUAGUUACAUCAUCAUCUUCAAUUAAAAAUGACACAUUGCCAUUACCAUGGAUAAAGUGCAAAGGCUCCCCUUCACUUGGCGGGCGCAGAUGGUGAAUGGCCACAACAAAUGAACAUCACUGAAGAACUUUACAUUGUGGACUGGUCUUUAGGACCAAAUUCAAGGACGUCGGCCCCACAAUACAGAGGACUCUCUAUGGGACUUUGGUAUACUCUAGAUGGGUACCCUCAAACCUCUUGGUAGAAAAUAGGGGUGGCUAUGGGAGGAUUAGAUUGGGAUAAUGGUACAAGCGGUGAUGUGAACAAUGACACACAUGUGGCGGCUUGUGUUGCCCCCCCCAUGCGUUGUUGGUGGGGUCUAUUUCUAUUAAUAUGACUUACCAGAGAAAUAAUAUGACUAAUCAGGGAAAUAUGUUUCGCAUUGCCUGUGAAAAUGGCAAUCUCACUAGCUGCAUCUCUUCUGUGCCCAACAAUACCAUGGUUCUUUUACUCAAGCAACCCCCUUUCCUUUAAAUUCCUGUAAACCACACGGGACCUUGGUAUGAUGAUAAGGGCCUGCAAGUAUUAAUGGAAUUAAAGAAAGCUCUAGACUGUCCCAAAAGAGCCAUAGGCCUCAUUGUUGUAGGGUUGUUGUCUUUAAUUUCCUUUAUUGUAUCUUCUAUAGCAGCUGUAGCCUUAACAGAAUGUACAAACUGCGACCUAUGUCAAUGGUUUGACCCAAAAUGCAACCCAGGCUCUUAGUGAUCAAGAGAAUAUUGAUGAGAAAAUAAGUCACAAGCUUAAUGCUCUGUAUGACAUGGUCAUGUAUUUGGGCGAAGAAGUUCAAGGCCUGAAAUUAAGGCACCAAUUGAAGUGUCAUGCAGCUUAUAAUGAAAUUUGUGUCACAUCUAAAGAGUAUAAUCAAUCUAGGUAUAGUUGGGAAACGGUGAAGAAUCACCUGCAGGGCAUAUGGCUUACUGAUAAUUUUACCAAAAAGUUCCUGAACCUUCAUAAAGAGACACUUGACAUGCAAAAUGCAGAAUUGCGGUUUGACCCCGUUAAAACUGCUCAGGAUUUCUUCGACUCCCUCUCUCAAUCCCUCUCACCUUUUGGUAAAUUAGGAAACCUUCCACAUAUAAUUUUAUCUCUGUUAACUGCUGGCCUCCUGAUAGUAUUGACUAUAAUACUGAUCCCCUGUGCAUUCAAGUUGCUUAUACAUUCCUUAAAAAGUAUUGGCUCAGAUCUCCAUAUGACCCAAUUACAUCAACAAAGAUGUGAUAAAAGACUAAAGGGGACAGGAUAGUCAACGAUGGGUAAGUGUCUUGGAGACCUCUGGCAACCUAAGACAGGGCCCCCAUGAUGGAAUGUAGGUACCAAUGACGGGUAAGUCCAGAUGAGUCGUCCAGGAACACCUAAGACAGGCACUGUCACCCUCAUAUAAAAUAAAAAAGGGGGAGAUGUGGGGAGUGGGCUAUGCCCUUCCCUCACUUCCCCCACUUGCUGAUGUGGUGGGAAUGGAGAACAAAACAUCCUGUUUACGCAUUCCAUGAGCAACUGAAGGAGCCCUGCUGUGCCUACCUUUGCCCGGCUAUCGCUGACGUCAAUACUGUGCUUGAUUGUCUAUUGGAUAAUGCUAUUUCCUGGAAUAGUGUGCUUCUUUGCUGUAUAAAUACUCUGGACUCAAACAAAGCAUUGCUGGCGACGCGCAGGAGUGUCAGCCCUCCGCUA